ACAAUGAGGAUCUUUACUGCACGUUUAAGCGACGCCAUUUUAAAGUUCACGUAUAUUCUCGCGAGAUUUUCCGAGCUCUCGGCGGCGUCCAGUGCUAACUGUGCGCGUGCGAGCCGAGGCUGCGUGGAGCAGAGCUGCUGACAGAAAGCGCGCUACCUCAGGAGCUAACCCGGUUAGCAUCACACACCGGCCGGUUAGCUUAGCUUCAGCGCCUUUUAAACCUCUAUUACACACCAAGCACUAACAUCCAGCCAUAAACAAGACAUUACAGCAACACAAAGUAAUGUUAAUUAAUCUCUGACUGGUUUAGCAGCCGAUAGCUAGCUAUAGCUUGUGAGCUAACAUUAUAGAAAAAGGUCAAGAACUCCGGCAGUAACUACAGGCUGAGCUGCGGCAGCGGGAUGAGUUUAUAAGGCAGUAAAGCGCGGCGGUGGCGCAGGCCGGCUGUACACACCUGGUCCUCUGGGAGAGCGACACUCCGAAACACUCCGAGCCGGAAAGGGAGCGAGCGAGACACAGCUGCGCGCUCAGGGCGUUUAUAUAGGAAGGGCCGACAAAAUGGGCGGGGUUUAGUAGAAGAAAUGGGCAUUCGCGUUCUUGACUGGUCAAGGCGUUCUUUGAUCGGCAGGCGAUAUCUCUCAUCUGAUUGGUUGAUGAAAUGAGCGUGGUGACGCCAUUUUCCGGGCUGAACUUGAUGAAGUUGUGCAAAUCUGGAAUUCACACAAGUUGACAGUGAAGGCAGGCCAGGGUGUGACUGGAGGUCGCCCUAUUUUGAUGUACACUCUCCCUCAGAUGUAUGGUGGUGAGGACCAUCUCAAGACAAUUGACAUGGAGGAGCUGGCCCUUUGUAAAGAGGAAUGCAGCCUUAAAAGUCAAUACCCAUGUGAUGAGACUUUAUUUGAGCUCUGUUGUCUUCUGAUGCAGGAAAAUGGAUGGAAUGCUCCAACAGAUGCAUUUUCUGCUGCUGAGCUGUACACUUCAUUGAGGACUGAAAUAUUGUCUCACAUUUAAGGGUGGAAAAUUCUCUGCAUCAAUGGGUUUAGUGAUUGAAGGGUUUAGUGUUUGAAAUAAACAGUAAAUAGAAGAAAUAAAACAAUAUGCAAUCCCUUCAAGUCAUGUAAAAUCAGUAACCGGCUUGGCUUGGAUCAGAUCAGAGCAGCUGCUUGAAUAGGAAAUAAAAGGACUAUAUUUUUGUACUUGCAAA